GAUGAACGCUGGCGGCGUGCCUAAUACAUGCAAGUCGAGCGAACGGACGAGAAGCUUGCUUCACUGAUGGUAGCGGCGGACGGGUGAGUAACACGUGGAUAACCUACCUAUAAGACUGGGAUAACGUCGGGAAACCGGAGCUAAUACCGGAUAAUAUUUUGAACCGCAUGGUUCAAAAGUGAAAGACGGUCUUGCUGUCACUGAUAGAUGGAUGCGCGCUGCAUUAGCUAGUUGGUAAGUUAACGGCUUACCAAGGCAACGAUGCAUAGCCGACCUGAGAGGGGGACACGCCCCACUGGACCUGAGCCACGGUCCAGACUCCUCCGCGAGGCAGCAGUGCGGAAUCUUCCGCAAUGCGCGAGAGCCUGCCGUAGCCCCGCCACGUGAGUUAUGAAGUUCUUCCGCUCGUAAAACUCUGUUAUUAGGGAAGAACAUAUGUGUAGGUAACUGUGCACAUCUUGACGGUACCUAAUCAGAAAGCCCCGGCUAACUCCGUG
rnacentral:rRNA from 1 species